rnacentral:rRNA from 1 species
AACGAACGCUGGCGGCAGGCUUAACACAUGCAAGUCGAACGGAUCCUUCGGGAUUAGUGGCAGACGGGUGAGUAACGCGUGGGAACGUACCCUUUGCUACGGAAUAACUCAGGGAAACUUGAGCUAAUACCGUAUGUGCCCUACGGGGGAAAGAUUUAUCGGCAAAGGAUCGGCCCGCGUUGGAUUAGCUAGUUGGUGGGGUAAUGGCCUACCAAGGCGACGAUCCAUAGCUGGUCUGAGAGGAUGAUCAGCCACACUGGGACUGAGACACGGCCCAGACUCCUACGGGAGGCAGCAGUGGGGAAUAUUGGACAAUGGGCGCAAGCCUGAGCCAGCCAUGCCGCGUGAGUGAUGAAGGUCUUAGGAUUGUAAAGCUCUUUCACCGGUGAAGAUAAUGACGGUAGCCGGAGAAGAAGCCCCGGCUAACUUCG